rnacentral:ncRNA from 1 species
AAAAGUUUUAUUUUAGCUAAAAAAUUUAGUUUUUGGUGAGCUCACAUACGUGUUUUAAUCUAAAGGUUCCCCUUGUAGUGAUUAAAUUUAAUGAUUAAAGGAAUUUAGAAUUAGAUAUAUAAAAGUGUACAGACUAAUCUUGUGCCAGCAGUUGCGGUUAUACAUGAUGUACUUCUAAAUUUAGUUCGGGUGAUAGUUGCCUUUAUAAUAGAGGAGAGGGUUGGUUGUAUAAGGUGAAAUUUUGCGAUCAAUUUAAUUUAAUUUUAGGAGGAAUGCUGUUAGAUUUGUAAAUAGACUAGGAUUAGAUACCCUAUUAUUAAUAACUUAAAUUAGUUCCUCCUGAUAAGUAUUAGUAUAUUCUUGAAAUUUAAAAAAUUUGGCGGUGUUUUAGUCUAUUCAGAGGAACCUGUCCUGUAAUCGAUAAUCCACGAUUUAUAGAACUUUUUUUUUGAGUUUGUAUAUCGUCGUUAUUUGAAUAUCUUUAAAGGGUUUAAUGUUCAGGAUUUUAAAUUUGAACUUAGAUCAGAUCAAGAUGCAGUUUAUGGAAAAGGAGAGAUGGGUUACAAUGGAGAUAUUUAUAUGGUUUAAAGAAUGAAUUUUUUUUAAUAAAUAGGAUUUGAUAGUAAAGUGGAUAAAUUAAUCUAUUUGAUUUUAGCUCUAGAAUAUGCACAUAUCGCCCGUCGCUCCCACCACAAGGUGGGAUAAGUCGUAACAAAGUAGGUGUACCGGAAGGUGUACCUAGAAAGA